GGACAGAUAGGGAAUUUUUUUCUUUUUACUUGUAGCAAGAAAACAAGUUCGGUGACACCAUUUUUUCUUUUUAUUUUCUUAAAACAUAUUACAAAACCUAUCUUUUCACAAUUUUUUUCAAAAUUCUAUCUCAUAGAUUUUUUUUUAUGCACACAAAUGUGUUUUCCCAUGAACAAUCUAACCAAAUUUAGGCAAUUUUCAACGACUCAUAGCUUGAAAAAUAGCACGGUGACCC
rnacentral:lncRNA from 1 species